rnacentral:lncRNA from 1 species
CUCCCACUACUAGCGAACUGGUAAUUAUCAAUAAACUGCCAUUCAUACAACUUUAGGUUAUUCUGCACUUUUUGAGAUCUCUCCUGCUUCACCCUUGUCUCUAUUAAACCAAUAGCAGCCAAUUUAUUCCUAGCAAUCAGAGUAUUCACUUCUGACUGCUUUUUAGGGUCAUUUAGACCCCUAACAUUCCAUGAACCAAUCAUUUUCUCCUAUCAGGGGGUUCAACAAUCCUUUUAUUCCUCUUUCCAUCUCCUAUGACUCUAAUAUUCACAUUAAUUUCUUUUGAGAUCCGUUUUCAUCUACUCCCACUUCAUAAUUUCCCUUUCCCCUUUAAUUUUCCAACAACAGUUCAGGCAUCCUUCUCUUCUAGUCCUUCAUUCUCCUUACUUGUCCCUUUCCCCA